CACGGGGGGGAGCAAGCGUUGUUCGGAAUCACUGGGCGUAAAGGGGCGUGCAGGCGGUCAGGUAAGUGGGAUGUGAAAUGCCCCGGCUCACCCCGGGGACCGGCAUCUCAUACUGCUUGGCUUGAGUACGGGAGAGGAUGUGGGAAUUCCUGGUGUAGCGGUGAAAUGCGUAGAUAUCAGGAGGAACACCGGUGGCGAAGGCGCACAUCUGGCCCGAUACUGACGCUGAGGCGCGAAAGCUAGGGGAGCAAACGGG
rnacentral:rRNA from 1 species